UACGGGGGGGGCAAGCGUUGUUCGGAAUUACUGGGCGUAAAGGGCUCGUAGGCGGCCAACUAAGUCAGACGUGAAAUCCCUCGGCUUAACCGGGGAACUGCGUCUGAUACUGGAUGGCUUGAGUUCGGGAGAGGGAUGCGGAGUUCCAGGUGUAGCGGUGAAAUGCGUAGAUAUCUGGAGGAACACCGGUGGCGAAGGCGGCAUCCUGGACCGAGAUUGACGCUGAUGCGCGAAAGCCAGGGGAGCAAACGGG
rnacentral:rRNA from 1 species